GGCAAGUCUGGUGCCAGCAGCCGCGGUGAUUCCAGCUCCAAUAGCGUAUAUUAAAGUUGUUGCAGUUAAAGAGCUCGUAGUUGAAUUUCGGGAUCGAUGGGUCGGUCAUGCCCUCGGUAUGUUCGAAAAGAACAUUGGUUCUCACCUUCUAAGGAACCAUGAUGUCAUUCGGUUGAUGUUGUGGGGAAUUAGGUCUGUUUUCUUUCAAAAUUAGAGUGUUUAAAGCAGGC
rnacentral:rRNA from 1 species